UUUUUUUUAGUGAAACUUCCACCUGCAUCUGCUCUUCUCCUUUUCCUGAGUCACGAGUGCGAGUGCAUGUGGUCCUUCUCUAUUCCUAGGCGAUGGCCUCUGUCUUUUUUUCCCUUACUGUGCUCUGGGUGGUGCUGGCUCAAAUUUAGCCUAUUACCCAAAAACACUUAAAAUUCAACAUAGAAGCAAAUACUCACAUCUACCUCUGAACCCAGUUGGAGAUAGAAAAAAGACACCAGCCGUGAGUGAGAAGGAGCAAGGGUCCAGAUUUAUUGGUUCCGUUCCAACACACGAGAUCCACACCGAUGAGAAUUCUCAGAAGUGAUCUGACACCUGGAGCUCAAGCUCCAGUAUUUAUACUGUAUUUACACAGUAGAUAACCAAUAUAUUUCAGAAAGACUAUGAUAUCAAUACCAAUAGGGUUAAAAAAGAGCUCAUCUACAUUAAGAUUAGGUUCUGAAAGAGGCCUUUCCAAUUUACCAUUAGGUUCAAAAGUGGAGAGAGACAAAACAAUUUAGAGAGACCUUGGUCUCACUCUUAUCUCGCAGGGGCAGCUUGACUCAGCUACCCUUAUAAAUGGCUCCUCAUGGUUUUCUCUUAAAAUUACGGCCUUCCUUGCGAGACAAGAAUCUUCACCAUCUGAAUUAUGAGUGCCCGUCUGGAUCUGGAUCUGGACACUCUCUAUCAGCCCGCGCAUCUCACUGCUGACAUCAUGGUGCUACUUAACGUUCUUCGCAGCACCCCCUCUGGAAAUGGAAAUGCGGGGUUCCCCCCCCUCUCCAAUACAGAAUCCACCCCGUGAAUGUGUGUACUGACGCCUCUACACAGACAGAACCUCCCUCCAGAUUUCAGUCUGAGGAAGAUGUCACCUUCUCUGAUUUGGGCUCUGACCAUUCAUCCCUCUUCUGACCUGUCAGUUCGCCCUACUCUCAGUGGUCUUCUUAUUUCACCUUUGCUGACUAUCCCAUGUCCCCAGGACACACCCCAUUUUCUUCCCCCUACCGCUCUCCUCAAGAUUACGCACCCACCAGUCCUGUGAAUUAUCAAUAAAAUUACAUAUUACUCAUA